AACCUGUAAUGGGAUAGAUUUUUUUUUUCUUUAUAGGGCUGCACCUGAAGCAUAUGGAAACUCCCAGGCUAGGGGUCAAAUCGGAGCUGCAGCUGCCGGCCUACACCACAGCCGUAGCAACUUGGGAUCUGAGCCGCAUCUGCAACCUACACCACAGCUCAUGGCAAUGCGAGAUCCUUAACCCACUGAGCGGGGCCAGGGAUCGAACACACAUUCUCAUGGAUACUAGUCAGGUCCGUUACUGCUGAGCCACAAUGGGCACUCCCUGAUGGAAAAGAUUUCUAGAGAAGAGAAAAUAAAAUCAACGAAUUUUAGAGCUAGAAGGGAACUUUGAUAUUAUUUUACGAACAGUUGAGGAAACUGAGGCCCACAGACGUUCAAGACUUGCCCAAGGUCACUGAUGCUUAGUUGGAAGCAGAGAAUGACCUUCCCAAGCAUCCUCUUACUCUUGACCACUCAUCUAUCAGAGCUGAAAAUACCUUUGUGGCAACUGAGAUCAGCCGGUAUUAACACGCCGACUAAGAAUCAGAAGAUGCCUUUUCCUUAGUGCUUAUCCGCGUGUGGUCUCUAUUCACACAUUAAAAAAACUACUCCACGUGAUUCUCCCAACCACCCUAUGAGGAAGCUACCUACAGAAAAUCUCUGAUGAAUAAGAAUUUUUUUUUAGGUAAUCAGAAACCCAGAACUGGUUCACCGGCUCAGUGCUUUCACCCCGCGACAGCUGGUGGCUCUGUGACCAUCUUGGCCUUUCCACCACGGUCACAGGGUCGCCACUGCAGCUCCAGACGUCUCAUCAGCGAUGGAACCAUGGUGAAGCUGCAUGUGGCAGUGCCAGCCACUCUGGGCUCCUUUAUAACAAAAGUGAAAUCUUUCUGGGAGUUCCCCUCACGGCUCAGUGGUAUUGAACCUGACGAGUAUCCAUGAAGACGCGAGUUUGAUCCCGGGCCUCGCUCAGUGCUACUGGCAUCCACAGGUGUUUAGGGAGUAAACCCUUAAAGAACCUCCACUUACUCCGCUUGUAAUAUGUAUUUAAUGCCCCAUUUCCUGUGUCUACCUACCUGAUGCUGUAUAUAUUCAGUGCUAUGUUUGGUUUUGUUUCUUUCUUUUCUUUCUUUUUUUUUUUCUUUUUGGUUUUUAGGGACGCACCUGUGGCAUAUGGAGGUUCCCAGGCUAGGGGUCAAAUCGGAGCUGUAGCCGUUGGCCUACACCACAGCAACAGCAACACCGGAUCCUUAACCCACUGAGCAAAGCCAGAGAUCAAACCUGCGGCCUCAUGGAUCCUCGUCAGAUUCGAUUCGGCUGAGCCACGACCGGAACUCCCAGUGCCGUGUUUCCUAUACAUUCCACAAAUGUAUAUGCAAGGCUAGAUUUCAUAUUUCUCUCCAACCUUCUGUUUUCUAUGAAAGCUUAGUCUUGCCAACCACACACCCCUCUGGAACACAUUUCCCGCAGUUUGCUGAGAAAUUAAUGGAAUAAAUAAUGCAGACUGAACAAAAAUGUGGCUUCCCCUCCUCCAACGGUGCCAACUGUGAGAGUUGGCAGCCAUACCCAGACUGAUGAGCACACAGUGUUGGCAGGUGGGAACGUCGGUACCCUCUUCCUAAUGGAAAUUUGCCAAACGCCCUAGAAAGUGCGCGUAAGCUUUGACCCAGUUACUUAUUGUUUUUUUCUAAAUUUUUGUUGUUUAUUUGAAAUUCAGAUUUAAGUGGGCAUCCUGUAUUUGCAUUUGUUCAAUCUGGCAAAACCCCCAAUUUUUGUGUGUGUGCUAUUUUAGAGAAUGAGGGGAACUCCAGCCACCCACACCUUGAGCUAACUAGACACCAAGUGGCGGGGGUGACUCUUCAGCCCCAGGACAGGCUUUUUUUCUCCCUUUUUGGUGCCCACAGCACAUGGAAGUUGCCAGCCCAGGGAUGGAACUGGAGCCACAUCUGUAACCUACACCACAGCUGGGGUUGGGGGUCCAACCGGGGCCUCCAGAGAGACAAGGCACAUCAUUACCCCAGUGCCACAGCGGGAACUCCCUGACCCAGGAAUUUAAAUUUAAGAUUUUAUUCGGAGGAAAUAAAUGUCGAACAUUAAAAAUGGCCAAAGCACAUUCAGCACAGUGUUAAUCAGAACAGGGAAAAAUUAGCAACAACUUCUGCCAAAAAAAAAAAAAAAGUGCGAGUUGAAGAAAUAUAGUACUAUCAUAAAGUUAAAAGUGAAACAAAACACGUAUGUGGUAAAAUGUUAAAGAAAAGCAGGGGAUUAUACACAAAAAAUGAAGGUGGUGGUAGGAAGUUCAGUGAGGCAGAGACUCACGGGGCACGGACGGCCUCUGGGCCUUGCCCUCAUGCACCAAAAAGCCCCAGUGGGGAGUUCCCUGGUGGCCUAGUGCUUGGGGUUUGGUUGUGCUGCUGCAGCCUGGUACCAUCUCUGGCCUGGAAACUGAGAUUCCCACAUCAAGCCACUGCACACUGCUGCCCCCCCCCAAGUUUUUUUUUAAUUAAAAAAAAGCCCCAGUGCCCGGGAUGUGCAGCUCAUUUCCCAGAAGCCCUGGGAAAGCACCCCCGAGCCUUGCUCAAGUGGGCGCCAGGUCCACCACGUGCUCCAGAACCGGGGAGGCUGCUCUGGGCGCGGCACUGACCUUGGAGACCUGCUCCCUCGGCCCCCCUGCGGCUCCUGCUCUCCCCAUCCUCUCCUCCCCAUGCCCCGGUGUCGUGGCCAAGGCCCUGGCUUUGCACGCGCGGUCUUGCUGGAUGGGCGCGGAGGGGAGGGCCCGCGCACGCGGAUGGAUGUUCUGGACCCACCAGCCUCGGUCCGUGUCCUCAGGGGAGCAUGUGUCCAGGCUGUUGUCAUAUUUGGCUGUAUCACCCGCAGUUACUCCAACAAGCCACCGUCCUGGGGGUUUGCAGAUCUCACCUGGCAAAUGCUUCCGGGACUAGGCUCUGUCCCCCCCUGGCCCAGGAGCCCUCUACUGGACUCUGGGAGUCCAGGCUGGCAAGGGAGGGAGGGUACCGAGCCCGGGCGGGGGUGCAGGGUGACAGGGGCCCCUGUGUCCUCAUCCCUGCCCCGCCCCAGCUCCUGAGCAUCUAGCCAGCAUCCACCACUCAUUAUGCAAAAGUUACUCAUUAUUCUGAGUCUGGAGAAUAUUUCGUUAUUUAAAAAUUAAAAACAAAAUGGAACGACCCCAAAAUUUGAUCAGAGUGGGCGGGUUAAAUCAGCGGUGGAGCAGCCAGAUGGUGGGGUGCUAUUUAAUCAUUGCGGGGAAGAAACAGACCAUUCAAAUGCCAGGAAAAAUGCUAGCGAAUGCUCCAAACGACCCCGCAGUGUUUGUCAUCAGAGCAAGGGAGCUGGAAAGCGACUGAAACGCGGCCAACUGCCAUCGUGGGCUGUUGGGGUCGCAGGUGGUUUUUAUUUUCCUUGUGAUUUGUGCUCCCUGCACCCUCUACAUUUUCCCCGAUGAAGUGUAUGUACCACUUUCGCAUCUAGAUGAAAAAUAAAGGCAUUUUUAAAGUUUAGUUGAUUUACAAUUUUUUCCAGCAAAGUGACACAGUCAUACAUACACACACACACACACACACACACACACACACACACACACAUUUUUCUCAUACUACCUCCCAUCAUGUUCUAUCCCAAGAGAUCGGAUAGAGUUCUCUGGGCUGUAGGGUAGGACCGCAUUGCUUAUCCGCCCUAACCCUAAGAGUUUGCAUCUACGAACCCCAAACUCCCCGUCCAGUGCCCCCACCCCCUUGGCCACCACAAGUCUGUUCUCUGUGAUUGGGUCUGUUUCUCUUUUGUAGAUACGGGUUUGGUUUUGAGUAAAGAAUAUCAGCAGCGUCGACCAAGAAGGGCUAAGCCCGCUCCCUCCCUCCGGAGCCGCCUCAUCCUCCUGGUGCAGGAAACGGGGUCCUAUCAAAAGAACAAAAAAGAGAAAUGAGCCAUGUGUCUGCAGAGGAAGAACAUGCAGGGAUCCUGCUCCCAGGUCACUCUCCUCGCCCCCGACUCUACGGGACUUCACCCGCCGGGAGCUGGCCUGGCUCCAGGGGCACGGUCUCUGCCAACAGCACGGAGUGGGCAGGAAGGUCAUUGAGAGUGGAAGCGUAGUGCCCCCAGGAGAGGGCUCUCCGCCAGGUUCGAGGAAAAACACCAUGUAUCUCACACAAACGUCAAUAUAAAAUUGAGAGCUACCCAAAUCAUUCAGUCGCUUAAUAUCAUUUGCUAUCAAAAAAGAGAAACGAAAUUCAGUCAGGGACAUGUGGGUGACUACUCAGCUGCCCUCUGGUCCAGUGCCCCCACCCCAAGGGGGUCUCCGAGCUUCCUCUUCAGAACAGUAAAGGGAGAGAAACUGGACUGGAAAAUGCAGAAUGGAUGACCUGGAGGAAAAGGAACUUUCAGACCCAUGUAGUUGUCCUGGAUUGUAAACAGCAAAUGUUGUGCUUUGUCAUCUCACUGAAAUCGAGGAUUUGAGGGGGCGGGUACUGCAGUCGGGGACAGGAGCUCAGAGGUCACACUGGGGGGGGGAGGUCAAGGGCACGGGCAGCAGCAUCUGUGUUCACGGACUGUUCCCGCGGCUCCAAGAGCUUCCUGUGGAAUUCCCAGGGGAGGCUCCCAGGGUCCCCAUCCCUAGAAAAGGCAGUCACUGUGGCCCCAUCCUGACUCCCCACUCCUAUCCCCAGUGAAGUCCCAGUGGAGCAGGGACACCAGGACUGGGGCUGGGGGAAGGAAGACAUUCAGUAUCCACCCCAGUGAGAUGUCCUGAUGCUCAAGUUCAAUGACGGACAAGUUCGCAAGGGGCUCUGAUGAGUUCAUUUCAAAAAUUACCCUCCCCCCCGCCCCGCCCCCUCUGGUCGCACUACCACAAAGACAGGCAUCUACGAGUCUUGGCUACGCUGCUUUGCCCUCCUAUACGCGACCUGUCAGGUCUCAAGCUGAGAUUAGGUACACAACUGUGGGCAUCACUAACUACGCAGGGGAGGACUCCGGCCCACCAAUGACCCGGGACAACCCGUGAGCCCAGGGCCAGCGAGCUUUCUGAGUCAGGGCUUCUGCUUCCAACCACGUCUGGUUUUAUUCUAACAUAACCUCUUCUUUGGGGAAAUCUACUCGGUAUUUUUGAGGCGCUGCAUCUGCAGUCCUGGGGUUCUGUGUUCUUUUUCUGAGCCAGCUCCUCCUUUUCCGAGCCCUGGGGCCCACCCGCUGAGAUCCAACAGCCGGGACCCUGGCCAGUCUCCCCCCACCCCAGGCUAAGCCCGCUGGGAGGCCUCUGUCCAGGGACUAAGGUGGCUUUCCAGUCCCGGCCUGAAAGUGUCCAUCUCAAGCCCCGGUCAGAGCGGCCUCGGGGGAGGGCGAGGGGACGACGGAGACCGACUCAGGACAGGACCCCAGGCCGGCUUCCGCAGAGGCUCGG